UACGAAGGGGCUAGCGUUGCUCGGAAUCACUGGGCGUAAAGCGCACGUAGGCGGACUCUUAAGUCGGUGGUGAAAUCCUGGAGCUCAACUCCAGAACUGCCUUCGAUACUGAGAGUCUUGAGUCCGGGAGGAGGUGAGUGGAACUGCGAGUGUAGAGGUGAAAUUCGUAGAUAUUCGCAAGAACACCAGUGGCGAAGGCGGCCGACUUGGUCCGGUUCGACGCUGAGGCGCGAAACGUGGGGCAAACAGGGAGU
rnacentral:rRNA from 1 species